rnacentral:misc_RNA from 1 species
AAGUCGUAACAAGGUUUCCGUAGGUGAACCUGCGGAAGGAUCAUUAUUGAAUACGAUUGGUACUGAUGCUGUCUCUUCACUGAGCAUGUGCUCGUUCCAUCUAUUUAUCUUCUCUUGUGCACAUCUUGUGGUCUUGAAUUGAAACCUUUCGCAUUCGUGCGGUUUGGGAGCUUGAAUAAACUCUGCUCCUGCUUCUUUCAAGGCCAUGUUUUCAUAUACACUAUAAAGUUACAGAAUGUCUUUUAACGAUUGCGCAAGCAGUCAUUAAACCUAUACAACUUUCAGCAACGGAUCUCUUGGCUCUC